ACGGGAGGCAGCAGUGAGGAAUAUUGGUCAAUGGGCGGAAGCCUGAACCAGCCAAGUCGCGUGAAGGAUGAAGGUAUUAUGUAUUGUAAACUUCUUUAGCAGUGGAGUAAUAAGGGGCUCGUGAGCCCUGAUGCAAGUACACUGAGAAUAAGGAUCGGCUAACUCCGUGCCAGCAGCCGCGGUAAUACGGAGGAUCCGAGCGUUAUCCGGAUUUAUUGGGUUUAAAGGGUGCGCAGGCGGCGCUUUAAGUCAGUGGUCAAAUCGUGAGGCUCAACCUCAUCCCGCCAUUGAUACUGGAGCGCUUGAUUGCGGUUGAGGUAGGCGGAAUUCGUCGUGUAGCGGUGAAAUGCAUAGAUAUGACGAAGAACCCCGAUUGCGUAGGCAGCUUACCAAGCCGUAAAUGACGCUCAUGCACGAAAGUGCGGGGAUCGAACAGGAUUAGAUACCCUGGUA
rnacentral:rRNA from 1 species